AAGAAACUAAAUUAAUACUUCUGCAACUAGCAACAAGUAUUGGCCAUCAUCACAUGGAUAUUUUGGAACAACAGAACAUAAAAGAGUGGAAGACCAAACACAUCACAAGACAUUACAUUAUACACCACACCUCCUAAUUAAUUAUGAAAAAAUUGUCUUGAUUAUUGUGAAAUAUCCCCGAGUUCAAUCACUGUCUCUCCUUCGUCUACAUAAAAUAGAGAACAUCAGAAUAUUAGUAUAUGAAAUCAAGUACCAUAUCAAAAUUGUCUAAAAUACAAGAAGAUGCCAUACCCUUGUACAUGUAGGGGAGUCUCACAUCCUAGCUCAAUUCCUAGAAUGCGAUUUAUAAUAUGUUGGACAAUAAUAACAACUGAACGAAGAAAUACCAAACUAUAAUCAUUUAACAUCAGUUCAAACAUUCAACAAAACACUUUAUAUGGAGAAAGAUUAAGAAGAUACACUAUGAGUUUUCAAUGUCGAAGAACAAAUCUUGUUAGGAUCAACAACAUCAAGGUACAAAAGCUGAACAACUAUGAUGUUUGCCAUAUCAUCAUCAAUAACUCCACCACAACGAAUUAUUCUCUAAAUACCAAAACAUAUUAUUAAUACUACUAGCUAGAUUAAACAGAAGCUGAAUACUCGACCUUAAGUAACAAGAGUAUAAAUUGCCUACAUACUGGAAAAGCUGACUAUGAUUUAGAAAAUUAUUUCAACCUUCUAAAACUAUUUUAGCACCAGCACCCACUGUAAAACUAGAAUCCACGAUUACAAAAGUCAUCAUGGGAAUUAUUAUUAUAUUCGUAAUGCUAUAACUACCUUUAUCACAUAUUAAUUUUAUAAUGAUUUUACGUGUUAGUUUUUGAAAACAAUCCCAACUUAGGUUUCAAGUUCUUAAAUCCUAUGCUUAGAAAGCGUAAAGUUACACAUUUUGAACUAUUAUCUACUAACCAUUCUUUUGACUAAGAAAAAAUACAAAUUUAUCUAACAAUUAAUAUUAUAACUACUAAAAGAAGAAAUAAGUAGAAAAACCCUUUAAAAAACCCAUGUUGGAUCAUGCUGCAAUUUUGGGGUUUGGAGACUUGAUAAAAGAUAAAUUACUAACUUGCACUUUCCACUAAAAGAAAAGAUGUUAACAUUGGUGGUGGAAGCAGAAGCAAAGACAUAAUAGAAUAUUUGGAGAGUAUUAGAAUCAUGUGUCCUUCCAAUUAAAAAGUGACAUGUGCUUGCAGAAUAACGCUUUCUUAUAGUUGUUAGUCAAUUUUUCUGAAAUGGAGGAGAGAUUUAACUGUGACCAUAUAUGUGUUAUAAUUAACUAUGUUCAUGCAGUUAAAAGGGUAAGAUGAUGUUAACAUUUUAGUCUGAUAAGGUGGUGCCAACAUAUAUUUUUCAAGGAUAAUACUAUGAAUAUCCAAAUUAUGAUACUUUUGAUCCUAUACAGUUCCAGAAUUUACAUAUUAACAUAUAUAUGUUGUAGAUUGCAUGAGGCAUGACUAAGAGGUGAGUGAAGAGAUGGGGAAGAAUUUUUCAGACCUUUUAGCAGAAGAAGUAAAGGAAAAAAAAGCUGAAACUGAGGAAAAACAAAGAAAGGCAGAUUCAAUGCUUUUAGAGGCUAAGAAAAUAGCAUCUCAGUACCAAAAGGAAGCUGACAAGUGCAAUUCAGGGAUGGAGAGUUGUGAGCAGGCAAGGGAAAGAGCUGAGACAACACUUGAAAAUCAGAUGAAAGAAACUGCUUUGUAGGAGCUGAGGGCUCGCCAAAGAGGCUGGAACAAAGAUGCUUCAAAGAAAGCCUUUAAAGACACCACUAAGCCACUAAUUAAACCCUUUAAAAAUACAAAUAAUUUUCUUUAGAAAAACCCAAAAAUCAGCCACAGUAAAAGCCUCAAACAGAAAACCUCUUUUCUCCAAAACACAUCACAACCGCAAUUUCAC
rnacentral:lncRNA from 1 species